AGUAAUAAUGCGACGCAAAAUAUUACCUCAUUUGCGUCGCAGAAUUACUAAUCUGCGACGCAAAUGAGGUAAAAAAAAAUCGGACGUGUCAAUGGGUUUCUACCUCUCUCCUCAAACACACUCUCUCCUAAUUCUACCUCUCUCCUCAAACUCUCUCUCUCUCUCCUAAACUCCCUGCUUCUUCCUCUCUCCUCAAACCCGAUCCAGUUUCUGCCUCUCUCUCCUCAACCUCGCCGCUCAAAUUUUCCUCCGGCAAGGUUCUUGCACAAAAAUUCGGUUUGUAAAUGAGGUUUCGACAACGGAAGAGGGAGAAUCGGGGCCGUAGAAGAGGUGGAGGAGGGUGUCGGAGGUGGAAGCGUCAUUGAAACCGCCGGCGUCGCACCCUUGCUACUGUCGCAAUCGAAGCAUCUAUUUCGAAAUCCUUGGAAAGGGAAGCUUGACGGCGGAGGUUUCUGGAGAAACUAGAUUGACGGCGGCGAGGUGGAGGAAGGAGGCGGGACGGUUAGUCGGAGGGUUGUUGUUGACAGUCUUUCAGAUGUGGUAGACUACUGGGUAACAUUUAAUGAGCCUCAUGUCUUUUGUAUGUUGACAUACUGUGCUGGUGCUUGGCCUGGCGGUAAUCCUGACAUGUUGGAGGCGGCAACGUCUGCUCUACCAACUGGUGUAUACAAUCAAACCAUGGACUGGAUUGCCAUUGCACACUCAAAAGCAUAUGAUUACAUCCAUGAACACAGGUUAUUUUUCUUCAGACUUCUGAGCACAACUGAGAAAAUCAAGCCAAAGAUCUUUUGUUAACAAGUCCUAUUAGAAACACUGACUACAUAGGUGCAACUAAAAGUUAAUCAUGUUUUAUCUUCCAAAAAUGAUGUGAUGAUUCACGGAAUCACGGGCACUGAUUUAUAUGCUGCAUCACGAGUUUAUGAAAGUGAUCCUUUUGCUAAGGGACAUUCUGGCUUGUUUCAUCAUCACAGGAGCUUAUUGUAUCUUUCAGAACAAGGAGCAGACUUUCACCACCACUAGGUUCCCCAAGUUUCAGAUGUUGUAUCUUAUGGUGGUUUAAAUGUCAUUUAUUGUUGUCUAUACAAGUUAUUAAACAGGGCAAACCUCUAGAAAGAAAUCUGUGUAGCUAUUGUUAUGGAGAUUAUUGUUUACCCAUUUGAAUGGAAUUUCAAUCUUAGAUAAUGCUUUGUGUUUCGUGUUUAGAAAAUAUAUUUGAUGAUAGGAUGGGUUUAUCAUGCACAAGUAAAUAUAUUUUCUCUCUGCAUUGUGUUCCUAUUGAGAUAGUCCCCCCC